UGGGCACCUUAUAAGUGACACGACAACGGGGAAGCAAAAAAAAAAAAAGAAAAAAUACAGAAUACAAAAUACAAAAUACAAAACCACCCCGUAAAACCCUAAAUGGAAACCCGAAAAAAGCGGGCACGCGUCAGUUCGCAACGAUCCCUAACAAUCCGGUGGAAAAAACAUAAACGAGUUGAGGAGUGAAACGAGCCCAACCUGAGCCAUUAAUAUAAACGCCAACUGGCAAGUCAACAGGCGCACUAGACAAAUCCCAUAAGCAAAUUCGGUUCACGCAGUUACCCCCCGUCGAAGUGCAAAGAUCCCGAGACUUCGGGCCCCGGAUCCCAACCCGUAUCCGCAUCCGCAUCCGCAUCCGAAUCGGAAUCCAAAGCAGGGCGAGGACUACGAAUCUGAAGGACUACCGCACUGAAGUGCAACCCUGUUACUAUCCAAAACACCGUGCACACACUUUCAAAAUUCCCAGUGCGAAGGGGGUUUGCUGCCGUCGAUGUGGAAAUGGAUGUGGAUGAGCAUUUUUGACAUGGCAGACGAUGUCGACGAGUGCCAUCAAUCGUUUAGACCACGACGCCGGGCGUUGGCGAUAGCGACAAAUCUGAUAUGAGAUUGGGAUGGAGAUGAGGAUGAGGAUGCGGACUCAGAUGCGUCCCCGGUCGAGGAUUAUGUGCGUGUAAAGCGCACACCCACAAAAAUGGUCACCCCUUCCGUCAGCUACCAAAUCCCGAAGGACACUUGGAAGGAAGAAGUGGUUAUGCUAAAUAAGAAAUGUAAAUUUAGUUAAUUUUCUAGUUUCUUCUUGAAUGUACUAUGUAAUGUAAACUAUUCCUAGUUGUAUAAAAACA
ensembl:ncRNA lncRNA:CR43297 long non-coding RNA:CR43297